GGGUUUUGUCAAUAUUCUGAAUGCAACCAGUCCUGUCUGACCUUGGAAGCUAAGUAGGGUCAGCCCUGAAAUAUACUUGGAUGGGAGAAUACCAAGGAAUACCAGGUGCUGAAUGCU
rnacentral:rRNA from 1 species